UACGUAGGGUGCAAGCGUUGUCCGGAAUUAUUGGGCGUAAAGAGCUCGUAGGCGGUCAGUCGCGUCUGCUGUGAAAACUCGGGGCUUAACUCCGGGCCUGCAGUGGGUACGGGCUGACUAGAGUGCGGUAGGGGAGACUGGAAUUCCUGGUGUAGCGGUGAAAUGCGCAGAUAUCAGGAGGAACACCGGUGGCGAAGGCGGGUCUCUGGGCCGCAACUGACGCUGAGGAGCGAAAGCGUGGGGAGCGAACAGG
rnacentral:rRNA from 1 species